GCAAGGCUAAAACUCAAAGGAAUUGACGGGGGCCCGCACAAGCGCGGAGCAUGCGGAUUAAUUCGAUGCAACGCGAAGAACCUUACCAAGGCUUGACAUACACUAGACCGGCCUGGAAACAGGUCCUCCUCUUUGAGGUUGGUGUACGGGUGGUGCAUGGUUGUCGUCAGCUCGUGUCGUGAGAUGUUGGGUUAAGUCCCGCAACGAGCGCAACCCUCGUUCUAUGUUGCCAGCACGUAAUGGUGGGAACUCAUAGGAGACUGCCGGGGUCAACUCGGAGGAAGGUGGGGAUGACGUCAAAUCAUCAUGCCCUUUAUGUCUUGGGCUUCACGCAUGCUACAAUGGCUGGUACAGAGAGAUGCGAGACCGCGAGGUUUUAGCGAAUCCCUUAAAGCCAGUCUCAGUUCGGAUCGUAGUCUGCAAUUAGACUACGUGAAGUCGGAGUCGCUAGUAAUCGCAGAUCAGCAACGCUGCGGUGAAUACGUUCCCGGGCUUGUACACACCGCCCGUCAAGUCACGAAAGUCGGUAACACCCGAAGCCGGUGGCCCAACCCCCUUGUGGGGAGGGGGCCGUCUAAGGUGGGACUUCGGCACAUUGGGACUAAGUCGUAACAAGGUAGCCGUACCGGAAGGUGUGGCUGGAUCACCUCCUUAAGGGCGAAUU
rnacentral:rRNA from 1 species